UACAGUCAUAUCACGCUGAGACACCGGUACACAGAAGUUAAGCAACAUCGAGCCUGGUUAGUACCAUGAUGGCUGACUUCUUGGGAAUAUCAGAUGCUGAA